GUGGGAAAUCUUCCGCAAUGGACGAAAGUCUGACGGAGCAACGCCGCGUGAGUGAUGAAGGUCUUCGGAUUGUAAAGCUCUGUUAAUCGGGACGAAAGAGCCUAGUGUGAAUAAUGCUAGGAAGUGACGGUACCGGAAUAGAAAGCCACGGCUAACUACGUGCCAGCAGCCGCGGUAAUACGUAGGUGGCAAGCGUUGUCCGGAAUUAUUGGGCGUAAAGCGCGCGCAGGCGGAUCUGCCAGUCUGUCUUAAAAGUUCGGGGCUUAACCCCGUGAUGGGAUGGAAACUACAGAUCUAGAGUAUCGGAGAGGAAAGUGGAAUUCCUAGUGUAGCGGUGAAAUGCGUAGAUAUUAGGAAGAACACCAGUGGCGAAGGCGACUUUCUGGACGAAAACUGACGCUGAGGCGCGAAAGCCAGGGGAGCGAACGGGAUUAGAAACCCCUGUAGUCC
rnacentral:rRNA from 1 species